rnacentral:lncRNA from 10 species
GCUUGGGAAUAAGAGUUUCUGGAUGGCCAAGUUUACCCAGAUACCUAAAGGUAAAAUAAGCAAGAAGUGGGGAGGAUGAGGACGGAGGAGGAAGGAACAGCUAAAGCAGACAUUUUUGUUUGGUGUUUCAUCAGGAGACUCUCUCAGGAAUGGGGCCACCUCACAGAGUCACACACACAACCCUUCUUUCAGAGGUUGGAAUGCAGAAAACCCAGCAGCACCAGCUCUCUCUUCAGA